AUGAACGCUGGCGGCGUGCCUAAUCCAUGCAAGUCGAGCGAACAGACGAGGAGCUUGCUCCUCUGACGUUAGCGGCGGACGGGUGAGUAACACGUGGAUAACCUACCUAUAAGACUGGGAUAACUUCGGGAAACCGGAGCUAAUACCGGAUAAUAUAUUGAACCGCAUGGUUCCAUAGUGAAAGACGGUUUUGCUGUCACUUAUAGAUGGAUCCGCGCCGCAUUAGCUAGUUGGUAAGGUAACGGCUUACCAAGGCGACGAUGCGUAGCCGACCUGAGAGGGUGAUCAGCCACACUGGAACUGAGACACGGUCCAGACUCCUACGGGAGGCAGCAGUAGGGAAUCUUCCGCAAUGGGCGAAAGCCUGACGGAGCAACGCCGCGUGAGUGAUGAAGGUCUUCGGAUCGUAAAACUCUGUUAUUAGGGAAGAACAAAUGUGUAAGUAACUAUGCACGUCUUGACGGUACCUAAUCAGAAAGCCACGGCUAACUACGUG
rnacentral:rRNA from 1 species